GUAAUGGAUGGCAUUGACGGGGUGGGCCGAAAGGCCAGCGCCGAGACUAUAAUAUUAUUUCUGGUUUCAGGUGCUGUUGGAUCCGAUGAAUCGAUCAUACAAUCACCGAAACAGAUCACAGUUACUGAAGGCGGGACUGUGCGGCUAAACUGUGCAUUUGUUGGCGACACAAGCAGUUCAAUUGGGGUCCAUUAGUUGGUACAAAGACGUGGAAACUCGUGCCGUUUCCAACACGAGCGGCGACUAUUAUGGCCGCGUUCUGAAAAAUAAUUCACAGGGAAUUCUAAAAGAAUCCAUCGAAAUCACUGACCUCAAAAUGAACGAUACAGGAAGGUAUUACUGCCGAUGGAGUGGUUUCACAGGGGAAAUAUAUAAUGGUCACGGCACAGAUGUCACGGUCACACGCCGGAUCCCUGUAGAAAGCCCUGCAUGGGGAUUACGUUGGCAGCUGCUGGUAAUGGGAGUGAAACUUGCAACGUUCAUUGUGAUCAACGUUAUAAUAGUUUUCAUCAUCCGCUCAUGGGAGUCUUGUGGAUUUGCCAGCCGGACAAAAGAAGCCUAACAGGCUGGUCAAACGACCAUAAGUGUUGAACUCCCUACAUAUUUGAAUCAACUCAUCCAACAGAUCAAACCAUGAAAAGCAAACUCAUUACUGAAUCAACAUUAGCUCAGUCAGCUGUGCUGAUACUGUUGUGGGCCAUUUGGGAUAAUGUCAUUUGUGAAAUCUUACACUCAUUAAAACUCCACAUUGCCUUCUUGUUUGUUCGUUCCUGCCAACAACAGAUUCAAGUCAGAGUGGUUACAUUUCAAACGCAGACCAUUAGACAAUAGACAAUAGACAAUAUUUGGUCUACAGUGUACAAGCCCAGCCGCUCCAUUCUCUCAGCAUAUGACAGUCCCGCCAUCCCGGGAAUUAACCUUGUAAACCUACGCUGCACUCCCUCAAUAGCAAGAAUGUCCUUCCUCAAAUUAGGGGACCAAAACUGCGGAUAAUACUCCAGGUGUGGUCUCACUAGGGCCCUGUACAACUGCAGAAGGACCUCUUUGCUCCUAUACUCACCUCCUCUUGUUAUAAGGGCCUACAUGCCAUUCGCUUUCUUCACUGCCUGCUGCACCUGCAUGCCCACUUUCAUUGACUGAUGAACAAGGACCCCCCAGAUCCUGCUGCACCCCCCCAAGCGGCGAUACCCUGUGAAGAAGCGUCUUCACCUGAAACCUCACCCAUUCCUUUUCUCCAGAGAUGCUGCCUGACCCGCGGAGUUACUCCAGCUUUUUGUAUCUAUUUUCGGACAGUCCUCUUGUGUUCCAUUUGCCUGAUGGAUCUCCCGGUUUCAAACCAUUUUAACUCUCCUUCCCAUUCCCACACCGACCCCUCUGCCCUGAGUCUCCUCCAUUGCCUGAGUGAGGCCAUUGGAGAAACAUGACCUCAUUCUCCAUCUCGGUAGCUUAGAACCCAAUAUUGAACUGUGAAUUUUCUAAUGUCAGAUCACGCCAGUUCAGGCGACAGUUCGAGCUCGACGAACGAAUCUUCGACACCAAGGUGUCUCGGCCACAAGAUGGCGCCACAAUGGUGUGAUUUGACAGAGAUUGUUACAGGUUGUAAUAAUAGACCAAUAAUGACACUUUGUUAAUAGGAUCUUGUUCAUGUUCUUUAUAUAAUUACAACAAUUUAUCGCUCAAUGAUGUGCGCUGGAAAGUUAUUAAAAGUCCUGCUGUAUCCGAAACUGUAAUAAGUCUCUUCUGUUACAUGGAUGCCCAUUCUACCGGUAUAUACACGUAUGUGUCUCAUAAGGUCAUAAGGUCAUAAGGUCAUAAGUGAUAGGAGCAGAAUUAGGCCAUUUGGUCCAUCAAGUCUACUCCACCAUUCAAUCUUGGCUGAUCUAUAUCUCCCUCCUAACCCCAUUCUCCUGCCUUCUCCCCAUUCCUCUAACACCUGUACUAAUCAAUAAUCUAUCUAUCUUUGCCUUACAAAUAUCCACUGAUUUGACAUCCACAACCUUCUGUGGCAAAUAAUUCCACAGAUUCACCACCCUCUGACUAAAUAAAUUCCUCCCCAUCUCCUUCCGAAAAGAACCUCCUUUAAUUCUGAGGCUAUGACCUCGAGUCCUAGACUCUCUGGUUAGUGGAAUAAUCCUCUCCACAUCCACUCUAUCCAAGCCUUUCACUAUUCAGUAAAUGUCAAUGAGAUAUCCUCUCAUCCUUCUAAAUUCCUGCUGGUACAGGCCCAGUGCCGUCAAACGCUCAUCAUAUGUUAACCCACUCAAUCCUGGGAUCAUUCUUGUAAAUCUCCUCUGGGCCCUCUCCAGAGCCAGCACAUCCUUCCUCAGAUAUUGGUCUUGUAGAAUCCUACAGCUCCUCUCCUUGGCGUUCACUGCAACCCGAUCUCAGAUAAAACAUUUCCAAUCUCCGCAAUGUGUUAACAAACAAUCUGAAAUAGUGUUUGAAAUAAACCCAAGGAAUAUACACAAGUAAAAGAUCACAGCAUCCCAACGGAGCAGCAGCAACUGUGGAGAACAUGGUUAUUACCGGAUGUCUGCAGAACAAAGCAUUUCACUGCAUCAAGGUACAUGUGAGAAUCAAGUAUCAUUAGGGCGGCCCGGUGGCGCAGCGGUAGAGUUGCUGCUUACAGCACUUUCAGCGGGAGAAA